UACGGAGGGUGCAAACGUUGCUCGGAAUCAUUGGGCGUAAAGCGAGCGUAGGCGGUCUCGUAAGUCGGAUGUGAAAGCCCUCGGCUCAACCGAGGAAGUGCACCCGAAACUGCGAGACUUGAGUGUCGGAGAGGGUGACGGAAUUCCCGGUGUAGCGGUGAAAUGCGCAGAUAUCGGGAGGAACACCUAUGGCGAAGGCAGCUCGCUGGGACGUUACUGACGCUGAGACGCGAAAGCGUGGGGAGCAAACAGG
rnacentral:rRNA from 1 species